rnacentral:rRNA from 1 species
CCUACGGGUGGCAGCAGUGGGGAAUAUUGGACAAUGGGCGAAAGCCUGAUCCAGCCAUGCCGCGUGUGUGAAGAAGGCCUUCGGGUUGUAAAGCACUUUCAGUGGGGAAGAAAGCCUUGGGGCUAAUACCCUCGAGGAAGGACAUCACCCACAGAAGAAGCACCGGCUAACUCCGUGCCAGCAGCCGCGGUAAUACGGGGGGUGCGAGCGUUAAUCGGAAUUACUGGGCGUAAAGCGCGCGUAGGCGGUCUGAUAAGCCGGUUGGGAAAGCCCCGGGCUCAACCUGGGAACGGCAUCCGGAACUGUCAGGCUAGAGUGCAGGAGAGGAAGGUAGAAUUCCCGGUGUAGCGGUGAAAUGCGUAGAGAUCGGGAGGAAUACCAGUGGCGAAGGCGGCCUUCUGGACUGACACUGACGCUGAGGUGCGAAAGCGUGGGUAGCAAACAGGAUUAGAUACCCCAGUAGUC